rnacentral:rRNA from 1 species
GGCUGCAACUCGCCUACAUGAAGUCGGAAUUGCUAGUAAUCGCGGAUCAGCAUGCCGCGGUGAAUACGUUCCCGGGCCUUGUACACACCGCCCGUCACACCAUGGGAGUCGGUAACACCCGAAGCCUGUAGUCCAACCGCAAGGAGGACGCAGUCGAAGGUGGGAUUGAUGACUGGGGUGAAGUCGUAACAAGGUAGC